rnacentral:rRNA from 1 species
GACGAACGCUGGCGGCGUGCUUAACACAUGCAAGUCGAACGGAAAGGCCCUGCUUUUGUGGGGUGCUCGAGUGGCGAACGGGUGAGUAACACGUGAGUAACCUGCCCUUGACUUUGGGAUAACUUCAGGAAACUGGGGCUAAUACCGGAUAGGAGCUCCUGCUGCAUGGUGGGGGUUGGAAAGUUUCGGCGGUUGGGGAUGGACUCGCGGCUUAUCAGCUUGUUGGUGGGGUAGUGGCUUACCAAGGCUUUGACGGGUAGCCGGCCUGAGAGGGUGACCGGCCACAUUGGGACUGAGAUACGGCCCAGACGCCUACGGGAGGCAGAAGUGGGGAAUAUUGCACAAUGGGGGGAGGCCUGAUGCAGCAACGCCGCGUGCGGGAUGACGGCCUUCGGGUGGUAAACCGCUUUCGCCUGUGACGAAGCGUGAGUGACGGUAAUGGGUAAAGAAGCACCGGCUAACUACGUG